UACGGAGGGUGCAAGCGUUAAUCGGAAUUACUGGGCGUAAAGCGUGCGCAGGCGGUUUGUUAAGUCCGUUGUGAAAGCCCCGAGCUCAACCUGGGAAUUGCGAUGGAUACUGGCUCGCUAGAGUGCGGUAGAGGAGAGUGGAAUUCCCGGUGUAGCAGUGAAAUGCGUAGAGAUCGGGAGGAACAUCAGUUGCGAAGGCGGCUCUCUGGACCAGCACUGACACUGAGGCACGAAAGCGUGGGGAGCAAACAGG
rnacentral:rRNA from 1 species